ACGAACGCUGGCGGCGUGCCUAAUACAUGCAAGUAGACCUCUGAAGGAGGAGCUUGCUUCUCUGGAUGAGUUGCGAACGGGUGAGUAACGCGUAGGUAACCUGCCUUGUAGCGGUUUAUAACUAUUGGAAACGAUAGCUAAUACCGCAUAACAAUGGAUGACACAUGUCAUUUAUUUGAAAGGGGCAAUUGCUCCACUACAAGAUGGACCUGCGUUGUAUUAGCUAGUAGGUGAGGUAACGGCUCACCUAGGCGACGAUACAUAGCCGACCUGAGAGGGUGAUCGGCCACACUGGGACUGAGACACGGCCCAGACUCCUACGGGAGGCAGCAGUAGGGAAUCUUCGGCAAUGGGGGCAACCCUGACCGAGCAACGCCGCGUGAGUGAAGAAGGUUUUCGGAUCGUAAAGCUCUGUUGUAAGUCAAGAACGAGUGUGAGAGUGGAAAGUUCACACUGUGACGGUAGCUUACCAGAAAGGGACGGCUAACUACCUGCCACCAGCCGCGGUAAGACGUAGGUCCCGAGCGUUGUCCGGAUUUAGUGCGCGUAAAGCGAGCGCAGGGGGUUUGAUAAGUCUGAAGUAAAAGGGCUGUGGCUCAACCAUAGUUCGCUUUUGAAACUGUCAAACUUGAGUGCAGAAGGGGAGAGUGGAAUUCCAUGUGUAGCGGUGAAAUGCGUAGAUAUAUGGAGGAACACCGGUGGCGAAAGCGGCUCUCUGGUCUGUAACUGACGCUGAGGCUCGAAAGCGUGGGGAGCGAACAGGAUUAGAUACCCUGGUAGUCCACGCCGUAAACGAUGAGUGCUAGGUGUUGGAUCCUUUCCGGGAUUCAGUGCCGCAGCUAACGCAUUAAGCACUCCGCCUGGGGAGUACGACCGCAAGGUUGAAACUCAAAGGAAUUGACGGGGGCCCGCACAAGCGGUGGAGCAUGUGGUUUAAUUCGAAGCAACGCGAAGAACCUUACCAGGUCUUGACAUCCCGAUGCUAUUUCUAGAGAUAGAAAGUUACUUCGGUACAUCGGUGACAGGUGGUGCAUGGUUGUCGUCAGCUCGUGUCGUGAGAUGUUGGGUUAAGUCCCGCAACGAGCGCAACCCCUAUUGUUAGUUGCCAUCAUUCAGUUGGGCACUCUAGCGAGACUGCCGGUAAUAAACCGGAGGAAGGUGGGGAUGACGUCAAAUCAUCAUGCCCCUUAUGACCUGGGCUACACACGUGCUACAAUGGUUGGUACAACGAGUUGCGAGUCGGUGACGGCAAGCUAAUCUCUUAAAGCCAAUCUCAGUUCGGAUUGUAGGCUGCAACUCGCCUACAUGAAGUCGGAAUCGCUAGUAAUCGCGGAUCAGCACGCCGCGGUGAAUACGUUCCCGGGCCUUGUACACACCGCCCGUCACACCACGAGAGUUUGUAACACCCGAAGUCGGUGAGGUAACCUUUUGGAGCCAGCCGCCUAAGGUGGGAU
rnacentral:rRNA from 1 species